rnacentral:rRNA from 1 species
UACAGAGGUGGCAAGCGUUGUUCGGAAUUACUGGGCGUAAAGGGCGCGUAGGUGGCCUUCUUAGUCAGACGUGAAAUCCCUGGGCUUAACUCAGGAACUGCGUCUGAUACUGGAAGGCUCGAGUUCGGGAGAGGAAUGUGGAAUUCCAGGUGUAGCGGUGAAAUGCGUAGAUAUCUGGAGGAAUACCGGUGGCGAAGGCAGCUCUCUGGGCCCAAACUGACGCUCAGGUGCGAAAGCGUGGGGAGCGAACGGG